rfam:Jatropha curcas cultivar GZQX0401 scaffold108_102, whole genome shotgun sequence.
AAAUCAAAUGAUGAAUUUGGAUUUCAUAUUUCUCACGACGGUCGUCUGAGACACCAUUACAGUGUCAAUGGUGAUUCAAUAAUCCAAUGGUUCUGAUGCUU